CCUACGGGUGGCAGCAGUGGGGAAUAUUGCACACUGGGGGACACCCUGAUGCAGCGAAGCCGCGUGAGUGAAGAAGUAUUUCGGUACGUAAAGCUCUAUCAGCAGGGAAGAAACUGAAGGUCCCUGACUAAGAAGCCCCGGCUAACUACGUGCCAGCAGCCGCGGUAAUACGUAGGGGGCAAGCGUUAUCCGGAUUUACUGGGUGUAAAGGGAGCGUAGACGGCAGCGCAAGUCUGGAGUGAAAUCCCAUGGCUUAACCAUGGAACUGCUUUGGAAACUGUGCCGAUGGAGUGCAGGCGAGGUAAGCGGAAUUACUAGGGUAGCGGUGAAAGGCGUAGAUAUUAGGAGGAACACCAGUGGCGAAGGCGGCUGACUGGACUGUAACUGACGUUGAGGCUCGAAAGCGUGGGGAGCAAACAGGAUUAGAUACCCUAGUAGGC
rnacentral:rRNA from 1 species